rnacentral:rRNA from 1 species
ACACGUGCUACAAUGGGUGGUACAAAGAGAAGCCAACUCGCGAGAGCGCGCCAAUCUCAAAAAGCCAUCCUCAGUUCGGAUUGAGGUCUGCAACUCGACCUCAUGAAGCUGGAAUCGCUAGUAAUCGCGGAUCAGCAUGCCGCGGUGAAUACGUUCCCGGGCCUU